GACGAACGCUGGCGGCGUGCCUAAUACAUGCAAGUCGAACGCUUCUUUUUCCACCGGAGCUUGCUCCACCGGAAAAAGAGGAGUGGCGAACGGGUGAGUAACACGUGGGUAACCUGCCCAUCAGAAGGGGAUAACACUUGGAAACAGGUGCUAAUACCGUAUAACAAUCGAAACCGCAUGAUUUUGAUUUGAAAGGCGCUUUCGGGUGUCGCUGAUGGAUGGACCCGCGGUGCAUUAGCUAGUUGGUGAGGUAACGGCUCACCAAGGCCACGAUGCAUAGCGGACCUGAGAGGGUGAUCGGCCACAUUGGGACUGAGACACGGCCCAAACUCCUACGGGAGGCAGCAGUAGGGAAUCUUCGGCAAUGGACGAAAGUCUGACCGAGCAACGCCGCGUGAGUGAAGAAGGUUUUCGGAUCGUAAAACCCUGUUGUUAGAGAAGAACAAGGAUGAGAGUAACUGUUCAUCCCUUGACGGUAUCUAACCAGAAAGCCACGGCUAACUACGUGCCAGCCGCCGCCGUAA
rnacentral:rRNA from 1 species